rnacentral:other from 1 species
CAUCCUCUGCGGUGUCCGAGGCAGAUCGGGAGAGCUCUUAAGCCUAACUUUCUCUCUUGGGAGCCAGAAGCGGUGGUGGCGUGCAUGUCCGUUGAGCGGAAAGCCCAAGCCAUCGAUGAGGCACCCACCUCAAAGCUUUUGCUUUAAGGGCAAACAUCUGCACGGCACAGGCGGAGGAUGC